UACGAAUGGGGCUAGCGUUGUUCGGAUUUACUGGGCGUAAAGCGCAUGUAGGCGGGUCGUUAAGUCGGGGGUGAAAGCCCAGAACUCAACUCUGGAACUGCCUUAGAUACUGGGGACCUGGAGCAGGUCAGAGGCGAGUGGAAUUGCGAGUGUAGAGGUGAAAUUCGUAGAUAUUCGCAGGAACACCAGUGGCGAAGGCGACUCGCUGUGACUUUGCUGACGCUGAGAUGCGAAAGCGUGGGGAGCAAACAGG
rnacentral:rRNA from 1 species